GAGAAAUGAUUAUCUUAGCUACAUAUGAAUCAGCCUGUGUAUCUGUGUUGUUUGCACUGCCACAGUAAGCAACAGUCUCGUUAUAUCCCGUCAGACAACACUGCUACAUUUUCCCUGGAAAUUCAGUUGUGAACCAGUUUGUAAAUGCUUAUGUAGUCUAUCUGCCACAUACCAUGUAGGGUAGGAACCUGAUGAUGUCUAUGAAACUGAAUUCAUGUGUUGUUGUAGAGAAAGGUGCCGUGCAGGGUAGGAACCUGAUGUUUAUUUAACAGAAUUCAUGUGUAGCACUCAUACACUCAUUGUCCUUCCUCUGAGUGGCUCACUUGGUCUAGACGGUGUGUGUGUGUGUGUGUGUUAAAUAUUGCCUCAGCGUCAAUACACAGUACUCCUCUGGAUAUUUUCACUCAGUGUUAUUCCCUAUUCACUCAGCACCAAGGCUAUGGCCCUAGAUUUAGAGAUGCACUCAGUCAGUCACUCUCUUCUCCAACGUUCUGAUUUUCUCUCCUCAGGCUCUGUGAAAGACCCUCCUGCCCUGUAGGGAGCAUGGCGAGGAGGAAGAGCCCUACACCCUCCAUGGAAGAUGCUUAACCCUUCUAAUGGCACUUCCUACCUACAGGGUUCCACAACGCCACUGCAAAGGCUGGGGUCACUCUUUUGCACAUCAACAAUAUUAAACCAAACAAGGCCUAACCAUGCUGUAUUUCUGUUAACUGUAACCCCUUAAAAAUUAGGGAAAAGAUUGAGUUACUUUUUAAAUUUGUUUACCGAGAUGAACUACUAUAAUAUCUCAUGUCAUGGUGCUGGUUUUAUUGUUUUCAUUUUUCUUAACGCGGCUUAAUAUGCUUUUAUUUAGUGUAAUGCAGUACAAGUGCUCAUGUAUUUAUGCACUAAAUUCAUGUUGUUUUAAAUGUGGUUAUCUAGCCUCGUCUAACAUUUCUUAAUCCACUACAUCCUGCUAAAUGUCACAGGGUGGCUGUUACACAGUUUGGUUACUAGCUGACGCUCUACUUCUACUUAAUGCUGUUUAAUUAGAUGGAUUAUGGAAAACCAUGGUUUUCUACCAUAUAACAACUGUGCCUUUUUAAAAUAAACUAUUUUAUUUACUCUACA
ensembl:lncRNA